AUUGAACGCUGGCGGCAUGCUUUACACAUGCAAGUCGAACGGCAGCACAGGGAGCUUGCUCCCGGGUGGCGAGUGGCGCACGGGUGAGUAAUACAUCGGAACGUGUCCUGUUGUGGGGGAUAACUGCUCGAAAGGGUGGCUAAUACCGCAUGAGACCUGAGGGUGAAAGCGGGGGAUCGCAAGACCUCGCGCAAUUGGAGCGGCCGAUGCCCGAUUAGCUAGUUGGCGGGGUAACGGCCCACCAAGGCGACGAUCAGUAGCCGACCUGAGAGGGUGACCGGCCACAUUGGGACUGAGACACGGCCCAA
rnacentral:rRNA from 1 species